UACCGAGUUUACAACUCCCAAACCCAAUGUGAACCAUACCAAACUGUUGCCUCGGCGGGGUCACGCCCCGGGUGCGUCGCAGCCCCGGAACCAGGCGCCCGCCGGAGGGACCAACCAAACUCUUUUCUGUAGUCCCCUCGCGGACGUUAUUUCUUACAGCUCUGAGCAAAAAUUCAAAAUGAAUCAAAACUUUCAACAACGGAUCUCUUGGUUCUGGCAUCGAUGAAGAACGCAGCGAAAUGCGAUAAGUAAUGUGAAUUGCAGAAUUCAGUGAAUCAUCGAAUCUUUGAACGCACAUUGCGCCCGCCAGUAUUCUGGCGGGCAUGCCUGUCCGAGCGUCAUUUCAACCCUCGAACCCCUCCGGGGGGUCGGCGUUGGGGACCUCGGGAGCCCCUAAGACGGGAUCCCGGCCCCGAAAUACAGUGGCGGUCUCGCCGCAGCCUCUCCUGCGCAGUAGUUUGCACAACUCGCACCGGGAGCGCGGCGCGUCCACGUCCGUAAAACACCCAACUUCUGAAAUGUUGACCUCGGAUCAGGUAGGAAUACCCG
rnacentral:rRNA from 1 species